GUGGCCGCGCUGACGCCGGGACGCCGGGAUUGACUCCGCAAUUUAAUUAAUCAACUAUGUCUUUCCCCUCCCAUCUGUUGGCGUCUCUCUCUCUCUCUCUGCUUCCUAAUCGGUUACAAUAAUGACAAAUAAUAACGACACGCUAGUCGAUAACCCCUCCGAUUUAUCUAUGUGCGAUAUAAACUAGAGCAUUUGGAUAGCCUGCUCUUUCGAUUAUAGUAUUAUUGAUUUCUUCCUUAUAUUCCUGGAAAUACAUUUUCCGGCUAUAAUGAAUUCCCCAAAACUAGCUGUAGUAUUCCUAAAGAUCUUUGUCUUUCUUGUUGUUUAUAUAUUUAGACCGAAAGUCUUUAUAGCACAAACUGCUCAGCGCCACCUGAAAUAGCCUCUCAUGAAAAGUUCUCAAGGCCUUUUAUAGUUUAAUUAAGCGUUACUGAUUGUUUAGCCUCGGGGCUCGACGUGAAACCUCUGCACGACGAGACCCGUGAAGGCCGCUUGUCACACGCCAGGUAUUAAAAAGAGAGAGAGAGAGAGAGAGGGAGAGAGAGAGGGAGAGAGGGAGAGAGAUGGGGAGGUGCGAAAGUAGGAAUAGGAAGACCACCGGGCAAAGAGAGCCGGAGAGCAAUGGAGCGCUUCGGUGUCAAUUAACAUACUCAAGUGAUGCCAAAUGUGAUGUUGUAUUGUUUUCUUAUAGUUUGGCAGGUGACAGAACGCACGCAAACUGUCUGUUGAGGGCAGAACCUCAAGCUAAAAUGACGCCCUCCGGUCACGUCACCAUCGUCAUCAUCGUCUAAUCAGGUUCAAGGGAGUCAAACAAUUUAUUGAAAGAAAAACGUGAAACCCCGCCACUGUAGUUUGUUUCUAAAAGCCAUAAGGUUUACCCGAACAUCUCCACAUGUUGACCGCUGUCCUAACCGAGGUCACUGUGUGUCCGCAGGAGCUCGUGGCGUUGGGCUCUUUUAAGUAUGUAUGUACCCAGAUCUAUGUAUGGGUGACUGCAGGCUCUGCACCAAAACCCGGGGCACCAGUUGCACGCAGGCGGUCCUAACAGGGCUUAAUGGUGCCGAGUCGCCCGGCUUUUACCGGGGGCGUCGGAGCGCCGCACCAGAUGCGCACUGAUCUCCGGACAGGAGCCAGUCCAUCUGCCGCCUGACGAGGCAGGGAAAGGCCCCGAAACCCCGCACGGCACAGCCCAGAGGCGAGAAUUUAGAUCAGCCCCAAGGCUCCUCGAUGGACCGCUGCUCCUGGAGGGGGGAGGGGGGCUGAUGGGGCUGGUGCCAUAUUCCUUGAGACAUUUAAUGGCAGAAAAUGAGACAGCGCGGAGAGGCACGUGAUUCGGGUUUUGCUUCAUGUGGGAAUGUUGGCACAAACGGCAAUCGUGGCCUUCAUUAUUGUAAUUUCAUUAAUAUAUAUUUUCACAAUCCUGGCUGUGUAACAUUUCGACCUUAAAUUAUUAUGCUUUUCAAGAAUCAAAAUAGACUAUUUAUCGCUUUUUGGCACAAAUAUCAGAAGAUAUCUGUUGCAGCUCGAGGUUUUGCCUUAAAGAAAGAAUCGCCAAUCGAACAUAUUACAUUUUAAAUCCAGUAUCUCCUAAAACACAUAGUUCCUGAUGUGGAAAAAACCCCAAACAUUUCCCAUGAUGUCACCCCUCUCUUGGAUUUACAGCUCUGAUUGGUUUAAAUGGUUUAUUAGAGGACCACAAUUUAUUUAUAACAGAUCAUUAUACCUUCAGUUAUUUUAGCUUUUUACCAGAGUAAACCGUAAUCCCCUUACUUGUUUAAGACAAUUCUUUGGGUAGACUUGUGUUAUAAUGAGUGUUUCCCUUUCACACAUGCUCUCUCUGGGUUAUUUUAUAUGUCAUUAAUUGUCUGUGUGAAGUGAGAGCACACGUCUGCUUCCUGUCUACGUGCACAUGUGCUGGCCUGGUUUGGCUUUUAAUCAACCCCGGUCAGACACCGGGCUCAUAUGGCCAUGAGCGUCCGUUAACCCGGUCCUGCAUGUGUGUGUGUGUGUGUGUGUGUGUGUGUGUGUGUACCUGCACCUUUCCAGCCAAAAUAACGACUGGCCUAAUGAAGAGCAACUAACAAACGGCCCAUAAGAUGUUUGUCCUCCAUCAACAGCAAAAAAGCAAUUAAGAAAACGGUGUCUGACCUACAUAGAGGAUGCGCCUCGGAAGGAAGCACAGGUUAAUAUGCUAAUAUGGAUCCACUAAUUGGGAGGAUUUACUUGUCGGUUUGCGGCGGGGAGGGGCUAGGGG
ensembl:lncRNA